rnacentral:lncRNA from 1 species
AUGAUUUUCCUUUCUCAAUUCUGAAAGUUUGGGGUAAGAAAGAGUUAGGGUCCAGUGUUGUUUCCUAUAGAAAUUCCUGUCUUGUUCUUGCCUUUGUGGUGGUUUAUUAUGCUCUAGAGUAGUAGAGGAAUGCAGAUUCAAGGACAACUUGAUCUGUAUAUCUUCUUUAGGAUUGGUUUAAGCCUUUGAGACAAAUUCUUGCCUCGAAGAUAAGGAGUUGGAAGACCAUAAUUUAGGUUUCAAAGGAUGGGUGAAGGCAUAAUGGAGUCUAGAAGGAAUGUUUGGGUGAAGAAGUUUUCAAGAACAGAGUCAGCAGAUCGAAUAUCGUGCAUUCCACGAGAAGAGUUGGAUUCAAAGGCUAGAAUAAGAGAAGAUUUGGGCAAGUAUUGGUAUAACAAGGUUUGAGAAAUCAGUUUGGUUUAGUAUAUCAGUAAAUUCAGAGGUCAGAAGGAAAGGAAGUGUUGGUGAGCAACGGAGUGGCUUUGGGUGAGAUGGGUAACAUGGAUCGGUGUAUCAACGAUGGUUAAAAUCUGAAUAAGAGAAAUUGUGGAUGGUUUGAAGUUUAAGUUAGGAGAGGGAUAAGAAUUCCGAAGUGGAUAUUGUAUAGCCAAGUUUAGAAGAAUGUUUCAAG